rnacentral:sRNA from 1 species
UGACAGCGUAACUAUACUUCAUCUAAAAU